rnacentral:rRNA from 1 species
UACAGAGGGUGCGAGCGUUGUUCGGAAUUACUGGGCGUAAAGCGUGCGCAGGCGGCUUCUCAAGUCAGGGGUGAAAGCCCAGAGCUCAACUCUGGAAUUGCCUUUGAGACUGAGUGGCUUGAGUACGAGAGAGGUGAGUGGAAUUCCCAGUGUAGAGGUGAAAUUCGUAGAUAUUGGGAAGAACACCGGUGGCGAAGGCGGCUCACUGGCUCGUAACUGACGCUCAUGCACGACAGCGUGGGGAUCAAACAGG